rnacentral:rRNA from 1 species
GACGAACGCUGGCGGCGCGCCUAACACAUGCAAGUCGAACGGAGUCAAGAGGAGCUUGCUUUUCUUGACUUAGUGGCGAACGGGUGAGUAACGCGUGAGUAACCUGCCCUGGAGUGGGGGACAACAGUUGGAAACGACUGCUAAUACCGCAUAAGCCCACGGAUCUGCAUGGAUCUGCGGGAAAAGGAUUUAUUCGCUCUAGGGUGGACUCGCGUCCAAUUAGCUAGUUGGUGAGGUAACGGCCCACCAAGGCGACGAUUGGUAGCCGGACUGAGAGGUUGAACGGCCGCAUUGGGACUGAGACACGGCCCAGACUCCUACGGGAGGCAGCAGUGGGGGAUAUUGCACAAUGGGGGAAACCCUGAUGCAGCGACGCCGCGUGGAGGAAGAAGGUUUUCGGAUUGUAAACUCCUGUCGUUAGGGACGAUAAUGACGGUACCUAACAAGAAAGCACCAGCUAACUACGU